rnacentral:RNase_P_RNA from 1 species
AAGAGUUGGCGAGGUAGUUGCGGGGGUAGCAAUACUCCUGAGGAAAGUCCGGGCUUCCAAAAGAUCAGGCCUGCUGGGUAACGCCCAGUGCGCGCGAGCGUGAGGAUAGUGCCACAGAAACAUACCGCCGAUGGCCUACGGGCACAGGUAAGGGUGCAAGGGUGUGGUAAGAGCGCACCAGCAAUAUCGAGAGGUAUUGGCUCGGUAAACCCCGGCCGGAAGCAAGGUCACGAGGGUGCAAGGGUUGAUCUUUUUCCUGCCCCGCUAGCGAGAACCGCAAGAGGCAUUUGGUAACAAAUGUCCCAGAUAGAUAACUACUCUUUGGUCACAAAGAACAGAACCCGGCUUACGUCUAACUCUUUUCC